UUGGAGGGCAAGUCUGGUGCCAGCAGCCGCGGUAAUUCCAGCUCCAAUAGCGUAUAUUAAAGUUGUUGCAGUUAAAAAGCUCGUAGUUGAAUUUCGGGGUCAGCAGGUUGGUCGUGCCACUGGUAUGCACUGGCUUCGCUGAUUCCUCCUUUCUGAAGAACUGUAAUGUCAUUAAUUUGGUGUUGCAGGGAAACAGGACUGUUACUUUGAAAAAAUUAGAGUGUUUAAAGCAGGCUAACGCUUGAAUACAUUAGCAUGGAAUAAUGAAAUAGGACGUUCGAUCCUAUUUUGUUGGUUUCUAGGAUUGACGUAAUGAUUAAUAGGGAUAGUUGGGGGCAUUAGUAUUCAAUUGUCAGAGGUGAAAUUCUUGGAUUUAUUGAAGACUAACUACUGCGAAAGCAUUUGCCAAGGAUGUUUUCAUUAAUCAAGAACGAAAGUUAGGGGAUCGAAGACGAUCAGAUACCGUCGUAGUCUUAACCAUAAACUAUGCCGACUAGGGAUCGGAUGAUGUUAAUUUUUUAAUGACUCAUUCGGCGCCUUACGGGAAAC
rnacentral:rRNA from 1 species